GAGUUUGAUCCUGGCUCAGAUUGAACGCUGGCGGCAUGCCUAACACAUGCAAGUCGCGCGCUUGGAGGGGCAACCUGAAGGGAGCGGCGGACGGGUGAGGAAUACAUCGGAAUCUACCUUAAGGUGGGGGAUAACCCAGGGAAACUUGGGCUAAUACCGCAUGAUCUGGAGACAGCAAAGGGGGGGACCGCAAGGCCUCUCGCCUUUAGAUGAGCCGAUGUCUGAUUAGCUAGUUGGUAGGGUAAAGGCCUACCAAGGCUACGAUCAGUAGCUGGUCUGAGAGGAUGAUCAGCCACAUUGGGACUGAGACAC
rnacentral:rRNA from 1 species